rnacentral:lncRNA from 1 species
AGCUAAUCAAAUCACUCAAUCUUAUUUAUCCAUCAUCUUUGAUGUAUCUACACUUCAUCCACCCUCCCACCCUUUUGGCAGGAGGAGGGGGAGUCUGGAAACUGGACAUCCUGUCUUUAGUGGAGUCUGUCUUGACCGUGUAAGAUACACUGAGUUUCUAUUACCUUGUGGAUUUCUGAAGAAAUUGUUGCUGAAGGAAUUCAAUUCCGAGAAACAGCACAACACCACACACCCAUCACACCACAGGAGAUGGUGGCACCUUAAUCGGGGAGAAAGGGGUCGUGGUAAUGACUGGAGCAGGUUCAGGGGAAUGGUAUGAAAUACAUCAAACACAUGGUUUCCAGGUGUUUAAUGCCAUUCCAUUUGCUCCAUUCCGCACAUUAUUAUUAGCAGUCACGAAUGUUUGAUCUUGAACAGAACAUGACACGCAGAAAUCGUAAUGUUCAACCUGCGAGGACAGAUACAGAAACCGGGAAAAUUCCGAGCAACACAGCUCAAACAAAUGGAUUGGAGAGUUAUAUUUGUCUGCGCAGUAGCAUGGCAUGUUUCACUGGUGUCACAAUCUUAUGCCACAGGUGGUGUGAAUACAUCUCUCUCUACAGCUCAGAGCAACUUGUCUCUGUGUUUCACCUGCAACGGUGAGAGAUGUCAAGAUGUGAAAAAGAUUUUCAACUCAAUGAGAGAUGACAAAAUUUGGACGCAAAGUACUGCAACGUCUGCCCUUCUUGGCUGUUCCCUGACCUCGUCUCCCUUUGCUGGGAAGUGUGUGCCAUGUGUUGAGGACCGCAAGGUCUACAUUGUUUGCCUUGACAUGCCCAAGGAUCUCAAACUGGACCUGGAGGAUGGUGAUGGCAACUCAUUUUCCUACACUGAAGCUAGUGGAGUCAGAGGUCUUGCUGGGCAUGGUGCAUUGGCAUGUUAGCAGCUGCCGUCAUCUUUGUCGCUUACUACAGAAGCCAGACCAAAUCAAGUCUCAGCAGUGCAGGGGAGGACUUCUCCAUCUGCCCUUCCUUCUAUCUGUCUGUCUGUCUUUCUCCUAACUGUCAGUAUCAAAUAUGGUUUGUUUCCAAAUAUUGACUAAAUGUCUCAUGGUCUGCCUUGUUGCACUUCUGAUUUUUUAGAAAAAUCAACCUGUCUAGUUAUUGCAUAUCUACUUAAUUUUAUCUCGAUACCCUCAAUGAUCCUGGAUCACCUACAAAUGUCAUAUCUCAGACCUGUUGACAUAAGUCUACCAUUAUUAAACUUACUCACAACAAAAUAUAAUGGUACUAUUAUGUCAAUUCCACAGCCUUGUUGUGUUAAAUCUCUUACACUGCUUACAACCACAACUGACUUCCUAAGGGAAAAUACUUAUCUAGAUAAUGUAAAAAAUAC